rnacentral:rRNA from 1 species
UACGUAGGGUGCGAGCGUUGCCCGGAUUUAUUGGGCGUAAAGGGCGCGUAGGCGGCCACGCACGUCCGUUGUGAAAUCGCCCGGCUCAACUGGGCGGGGUCGGCGGAUACGGCGUGGCUGGAGCAAGCUAGGGGGCAAUGGAAUUCCCGGUGUAGUGGUGGAAUGCGUAGAUAUCGGGAGGAACACCAGCGGCGAAGGCGGCAUCCUGGACUGGUCCUGACGCUCAGGAGCGAAAGCGUGGGGAGCGAUCCGG